CCUACGGGUGGCAGCAGUGAGGAAUAUUGGUCAAUGGGCGGGAGCCUGAACCAGCCAAGCCGCGUGAAGGAAGAAGGCGCCAGGCGUCGUAAACUUCUUUUGUCGGGGAACAAAGGGCGCCACGUGUGGCGUUGUGAGUGUACCCGAAGAAAAAGCCUCGGCUAACUCCGUGCCAGCAGCCGCGGUCAUACGGGGGAGGAGAUCGUUAUCCGGAUUUAUUGGGGUUAAAGGGUGCGUAGGCGGUCCGGAAAGUUAGCGGUAAAAGCCCGGGGCUACACCGCGGGGGGCCGUUGAAACGGACGGACUAGAGAGGGCGAGAAGUACGCGGAAGGCGGGGGGUAGCGGUGAAAUGCAUAGAUA
rnacentral:rRNA from 1 species